ensembl:lncRNA
UAUAUAUAUAUAUAUAUAUAUAUAUAUAUAUACACAUAUAUAUAUAUAUAUAUACACACAUUCAUAUAUAUUUAAAUGAAGAAUAUAAACAUGUAUCCAAACAUGUUUUUUUCUGAUUCUUAUUUUUAGGUCUUUUUUACCACCCAUAAACAUUCAUUUGCUCAUGUAAAAUUCUGAUGGAUUUGUUUUGUAGCCAUGAACUUAAACUUGGAAAAUAUUGUGUGUUUCUCUGGAAACAAUUAGGGGAGGUGUCUGGCCCGGGCGCCGCUCCAGCAACCCUUUUUAAAUCCUACCACUUGGUAGACCUGUGCCGAUAAGGAGAUGGUGUCUUUUUAAUUGUUGUUGAAAUUACUAUUAUCAUUAGCUAACAAUAGUCAUGUAUUUGUUUGAGUAUUAUUUUCAUAUGUAGUAGAUUAAAUAGUCUACAAAGCAUUCAAUUGGAGGAAAGGUAUUACCCAUUUUGCUGAAUUUGCCAGACUAAAGGUGCUGUACUUUUUGACCAUGUACAGACCGUCAUCUCCCUCUUUCUCAGAAGUCCAUCAUUUCCUCCUCUUUAUUUUUCUUUUUCUUUUCAGACACAACACGAUCAUCCAUUUGUUAGAUAUCAACUAUGAUCCAGAAUAUAACACCUGUAAAUAAACAAACAUAUAGAUUAUAUGUAUUUGUUUGAUUUAACUCUCAACGCUCUCUUACUUCAGAUCAAAUACUGAACUGCAAAGAUAAGGUUCUGCUUAUUGCAAAGUUCACAGUGUACUUUCUCCCUUUGUAAUAUUUGUAGUCCACUCUGCCCUCUCUUCUUAAGUCCCCUCCUUCUUUGUCAUAUCUGCCAUGUUAGCAAUAUCCCCUGCUAGCCACCCACAGCUAACUCUGUUAUGAGAGGUCAAUGACGACCCAUAACCUUUGCCUCAGCACAGGCUUCUUGCAAUCAAAAUGGCGCCUGCUCUCUGGCCCCAAAGUGAACAGGGCUGGGAAACGGCAACCAAAGGACUAUUCCUUUCCAAAACAAAAGCUCUAUCUUUCCAUCCCCAAAAAAGGAGAAGUGCUAGUUCCCAACUGCUAAAAAGCCAAGAAGUGGAUUGUCCAUUGGCAGUCAUAGAGAGAAACAAGAGAUUUUCUCUACUACUUAGCAACUGGCCAUAGUGCAAUGACACAGCCAUUAAGGGAAAAGUACUACAGUACACUACCACUGACCCUGAAUCAUGACAUGAUGUAAGAGGGUUCAUUAUACUGUAAGAACCUAGUACCAUACUGUGUUCAUUCUUAUUAUUCUUUUUAUGUUUUGUUACGGGAUGCAGAAUGAGUCAGGACUGAAUGAGAAGGAGCCGUGUGAUGCAAAGACUAGGACGAAGGAAGACGAAAUAACAAAGACAUUUCCAGCACAUCCUUCUCAAGUGGGAAUCGCAGACCUUUUCAUAUGAACAAAUCUUGAAAUGAUCUUGAAAUUAGGACUUUUUUAUGACUGAAUUCAAAGACUGGUUAAGGGCCAAUGACAAAAAACAAGACUGGACAUCUUUGGAAGUUUGUGCGAUGUGUUACUCUUUGACUUCAUGUUAAGAUGCCAGACUUUUGACAACAAUAGCAGCCAAAUCUACUGGAAUGUUCGACCGAGGUGUUGAAAUUAACAAAAGAGAAAAAUUACUAUAAAAUAAUAGAACCUAUACGUACAACAGCCAACAAAAAGAUAAAAAACCUAAGCUCAAUCAAAAUAGUUUUUCUUUGUAUGAGGGCCAAGUGCUAUCGCUUUCAAACUGUUACUUCUAACUGAAACAAUGAUUGGUUAAAAACCACUGUGUAUGUAGAUAUGUUGACUUUGUAUUAAAAAAAUGUUGUCUGAA